CCUACGGGUGGCAGCAGUGGGGAAUAUUGCACAAUGGGGGAAACCCUGAUGCAGCAACGCCGCGUGAAUGAAGACGUAUUUCGGAAUGUAAAGCUCUAUUAGCAGGGAAGAAAAUGAAGGUAAGCUAAUGAGCAACCCAUGCUAACUACGUGGCAGCAGCCGCGGUAAUAAGUAGGUGGCAAGCGUUUUCCGGAUUUACUGGGUGUAAAGGGCGUGGAGGCGGGAAAGCAAGUCAGAUGUGAAAACCACGGGCUUAACCUGUGGCCUGCAGUUGAAACUGGUUUUCUUGAGUGCUGGAGAGGCUGACGGAAUUCCGAGUGUAGCGGUGAAAUGCGUAGAUAUUAGGAGGAACACCAGUGGCGAAGGCGG
rnacentral:rRNA from 1 species